UUUUUUGUCCUCCUAAUAAUAAUAAAAUUUCUGUAAUUUGAUUUUUGAUUUUCUGUAAUUAAUAAUAAUAACCUGCGCGUUAUCAAAAAUCUCAGAGAAAACGUUGAAAGUUCAAAUCUUUUUUUUUUUUUGCAUCGGCCAAUUUUGAAAAACACUACUCCUCCUCCUCCUCCUCGUGUUGUGUUUGUGUUUGUGUUCGACACUCUUGUUGGCAACGAUACCUUUGUUGUGCCUCCCCCUUUCUCAAUUGGGAUCAGGUAAAGGAUUGCUUAAAAUUGAGGUAGCUGUCCAUUUGCUCGAUCCGUCGAGCAAAUCAAAUCUAAUUGAAG